rnacentral:rRNA from 1 species
UACGUAGGCAGCGAGCGUUUGUUCGGAGUUACUGGGCGUAAAGGGUGUGUAGGCGGUUGUUUUAAGUUUGGUGUGAAAUCUCCCGGCUCAACUGGGAGGGUGCGCCGAAUACUGAAUGACUAGAGUGCGGGAGAGGAAAGUGGAAUUCCUGGUGUAGCGGUGAAAUGCGUAGAUAUCAGGAGGAACACCGGUGGUGUAGACGGCUUUCUGGACCGUAACUGACGCUGAGACACGAAAGCGUGGGUAGCAAACAGG